UCUUAUUUUGUUAAAAUUUUGCACAUUUUCAGAGAUUCUGCAAGUGGUUCACAUACUUUUUCUUGCAACUGUAUAUGGUCCAUUCCCUUGUUCCAUUAAGAAUUAUACAAAAUGUUUUAAACUCAUUUAAAAAAAAAAAUAAUUUAAAAUUCUUAAUUACAUAAUAUGAAUAUGUAAGGAUUAUUCAAUUCAGUUUGAUGGAAUUUUACUAUAUUGCAAAUUCGUACAUUUUAAAAAAGGGCUUGAAUUUUUUUGUGUUAAGGACGUUCGUUCCAUAAACAUUUUAAGAACGUUUGUCCUAACAUUUAGCUACAGAACGUUUAAAGAUGUAAAAUUGUAGAACGUUCUGUGUUGGCCGGGUAGGGUGCAAAAAUCUUUUUUUUUAUUGUUGUGGGUUCCAUAUUUUACAUUAAUAAAUAUUAUGAUUUAAUUUUAUUAUUAGGAUUUUUGGUCUGGUUUUAAUACAAUUCACCAAAAUAACUAGCCGGUAGGCCUAACUACAACUAUAAAACUAUUACACUAUUUUGAAAAAUCACAUUACAAAAUAUGAGUUAAAUAACACAAAUAAUAUUUGCGACAUUUAUUACUGAAUUUUAUAUUUUCAUUUUCACAAGCUGUUUAUACUGUACGAAAUUACAACUUUUGUCCAAUGACAUUUUAAUUUUCUGUUAACAGCUUUACUGACAUGAAAGGAGCUUUGUUGUGGUAUUCUUGAGUAAAGUUCAUAAAAUGUAGGCAACGUUAUUUCCCACUGGAAUUUGUAAAAUGCCCCCCGGAAGAAAAUGUUGUACAUUUUAAGGUUAAAUGUUUUGCAGCCUCCCGCAGGUCAUGUGGUGAAUAGCGGGUCGUGCUGCUGUUUUUCUGAGUUUGGUUUAUUAUGAUUUUUCCCCCCUUUAAUUAUACAAUGAUUGUGUUUUCAUUUUUGUUAUUUGUGUCGAGAUCUGGGUGCGAUUAGUUGGCAUCGGGCCGUUUAUAUGCUGUGUUGGUUGCACGUCCUUUACCUCUGUGAUGUUUAUGUAGUUUCGGGCGUAUUCCCGGAGCGAGGUAGGACGCUGAAUUCCAUUGUCAACUCGGUAUUUAUUUUGAACCAGGGCUGAGUGUGCUGAGGGGGAGGCUAGUCACCUGGGUGAAACACACGGUUGUGAGCACCUCUUCCUAUUGCUUGCUUUGUGCACGUGUGGUUGAGAGCACGCUUUCUUUUCGUUAGUUUGCCACCCCUAAGGUAAGCUUUAGCCUUGUAGUUAUUUUGGUAAUUAAUUUGUUUGUUAAAUAUAUAUUUUGGUGGGGAAGGUCCAAUUUUUCUUUUUUUUGUUUCCUUUUCUUUUUCAUUGGUUGUGAGUAGGCCUUGUGCAGAUGUUCAUAGAAAUGAUCUUUUACCUCUGAGUUUUAAGAUUGUUAUAAUAAACGUAUCAUUUUUAUAUGAUGAAUUUGAUGAUUCUGACGUGAUUCAUUUUCUGUAUUUAUAUGAAUAAAAGUUUGUUGAUUUAAA